UCCUGGCCUCGGUUACCUCGGUUCGAAAUAGGACUAUCCGCGCGCGACCCGCGGGAGUCCCGGCCACCAGGUGGUGCGGGGACCUUCCCGAUGCGCUUGCUGCCCCACCGCAGACCCCCGCCUGGCUCUCCCGGGGCGGGUCGUCGGGUAUCACGCAGGCCCACCCCGCGGAGCGCCACCUCUCUCCGUGGUUCGGACGCAGUGGCGCUCCCGCCGCCCCUGUCCCCACCGACGAGCGUGUGACAGCGCCCCCUCCGGGUGGGGUCAAGAGUCAGGAGACUAGAGAUUAAAUGGAUGCGACAGAGCCAGUAAACGAAGAUGCUCAGGAAAGACUGACUCCAGCGAUCCUCCCUCGCCUCCGGCUUCCCUCCUCGGCCCUUCCACACAAUAACGCUGUGGGCAGACGACGUGUCUGUGAAAACCAUUCGCGUGAGUCAGCCCCACCCCUGCCUUCAGGAAAUUCGAGGGACACAGGGACACAGACCCGGAAGAGACCUGUUAUGACUCAGGGUGAUACAUGCCGAGACACAGGAGCUUUGGAGGCAGUGCCUGGCUGACCUGAGGACUAGGGCCUGGCCUGUGCUGGGAGCCGCCUGAGUAUCAGACCGAAGGUGCCACAAGGCGGGCAGUCAAAGGGACCCUCCCACCAGCCGGCCCUUUACAGAUGAGUAAACCGAGGCUCAGAGCUGAAGAGGGCCUUGCUGAAGUACACAAGAAUCAAAAGCAAAGCAGGGACAGGCCCCUGCUCUGUGACAACGUCUGAGUCUUAGCCCCUGUGUCGCACCCGGGGAGAUCUGGGACCUGGCUCUGCCCUCCUGGAUGCCAUCACGCCUGCCGGCUCCCUCCUCCCCAGGGCGAGGAUCAGAAAACUUACGUGUAGCCCAGGACUCAAUUGUGUGGAUGACACUAGCCCAGUGCCCCCAUUCGAGAGGUGAGGGGACUUACGCCAAAGUGGAGACGAGCCACCGGGCACCUGGACAGAGGCUGGAGAGCCCUGGCCGAGUAAUUCCCAAGUCCCCGAGGCCGGCCUCAACCGCAGAAACUGCCUUCAAGGCUUGUCCCUAGCACACGCAGCAGCCUCCCCAUCAUGCUCCUGUCAUAGCAGGAUAUUUGUCGGCAGUGGGGUGCCCUGGGUGGGAUCCUGGACCAGAAGAGGCACGUUAGGUAAACAGAGGAUCUGAAUAAACUAUGGACUUCAGUUAAUAAUCAUGUAUCAGGGGGCGCCUGGGGGGCCCAGACGGUU